rnacentral:rRNA from 1 species
UUGAGUAGCGUUAAAGGGGGUGAAAAGCCCCCUCGCCGUAAGCGCAAGGUUUUCUACGCAACGUUCAUCGGCGUAGAGUGAGUCGGCCCCUAAGGCGAGGCAGAGAUGCGUAGCUGAUGGGAAACAGGUCAAUAUUCCUGUACCGAUGUGUAGUGCGAUGUGGGGACGGAGAAGGUUAGCUCAGCCAACUGUUGGAUAUGUUGGUUCAAGCCUGUAGUCGUGCCCGGUAGGCAAAUCCGCCGGGCUUAGAUGAGGGGUGAUAACGAGGCUGCUUGCAGCCGAAGUGAGUGAUACCCUGCUUCCAGGAAAAGCCACUAAGCUUCGGCUACACACGACCGUACCGCAAACCGACACUGGUGCGCGAGAUGAGUAUUCUAAGGCGCUUGAGAGAACUCAGGAGAAGGAACUCGGCAAAUUGAUACCGUAACUUCGGGAGAAGGUAUGCCCCAAGUAGGUGAACCUGUACAAGGCGAGCCCAAAGGGGUUGCAAAAAAUCGGUGGCUGCGACUGUUUAAUAAAAACACAGCACUCUGCAAACACGAAAGUGGACGUAUAGGGUGUGACGCCUGCCCGGUGCUGGAAGAUUAAAUGAUGGGGUGCAAGCUCUUGACUGAAGUCCCAGUAAACGGCGGCCGUAACGAUAACGGUCCUAAGGUAGCGAAAUUCCUUGUCGGGUAAGUUCCGACCUGCACGAAUGGCGUAACGAUGGCCACACUGUCUCCUCCUGAGACUCAGCGAAGUUGAAAUGUUUGUGAUGAUGCAAUCUCCCCGCGGAAAGACGGAAAGACCCCAUGAACCUUUACUGUAGCUUUGUAUUGGACUUUGAACAGAUCUGUGUAGGAUAGGUGGGAGGCUUUGAAGUGAGGUCGCUAGAUCUCAUGGAGCCAACGUUGAAAUACCACCCUGGUGUGUUUGAGGUUCUAACCUAGGUCCAUUAUCUGGAUCGGGGACAGUGCAUGGUAGGCAGUUUGACUGGGGCGGUCUCCUCCCAAAGCGUAACGGAGGAGUUCGAAGGUACGCUAGUUACGGUCGGACAUCGUGACGAUAGUGCAAUGGCAUAAGCGUGCUUAACUGCGAGACUGACAAGUCGAGCAGAUGCGAAAGCAGGACAUAGUGAUCCGGUGGUUCUGUAUGGAAGGGCCAUCGCUCAACGGAUAAAAGGUACUCUGGGGAUAACAGGCUGAUACCGCCCAAGAGUUCAUAUCGACGGCGGUGUUUGGCACCUCGAUGUCGGCUCAUCUCAUCCUGGGGCUGUAGCCGGUCCCAAGGGUAUGGCUGUUCGCCAUUUGAAGAGGUACGUGAGCUGGGUUUAAAACGUCGUGAGACAGUUUGGUCCCUAUCUUCCGUGGGCGCUGCAGAUUUGAGGAAGCCUGCUCCUAGUAUG